GACGAACGCUGGCGGCGUGCUUAACACAUGCAAGUCGAACGGAAAGGCCCUGCUUUUGUGGGGUGCUCGAGUGGCGAACGGGUGAGUAACACGUGAGUAACCUGCCCUUGACUUUGGGAUAACUUCAGGAAACUGGGGCUAAUACCGGAUAGGAGCUCCUGCUGCAUGGUGGGGGUUGGAAAGUUUCGGCGGUUGGGGAUGGACUCGCGGCUUAUCAGCUUGUUGGUGGGGUAGUGGCUUACCAAGGCUUUGACGGGUAGCCGGCCUGAGAGGGUGACCGGCCACAUUGGGACUGAGAUACGGCCCAGACUCCGACGGGAGGCAGCAGUGGGGAAUAUUGCACAAUGGGCGGAAGCCUGAUGCAGCAGCGCCGCGUGCGGGAUGACGGCCUUCGGGUUGUAAACCGCUUUCGCCUGUGACGAAGCGUGAGUGACGGUAAUGGGUAAAGAAGCACCGGCUAACUACGUG
rnacentral:rRNA from 1 species